UAGUUUGAAAAAUCAGAAAGU
rnacentral:piRNA from 1 species